GGCCCCGGGGCCCUAGACCCCCGCAGGAGGACGCCGGCCACCCGGCCGCGGGGCCACCCUGCCCGGCCCUGGCCGCGACCCCCCCGCCCGCAGCAUGGCCGGUGACCGAUUGCACAGAAACUCCACAAACGGGCCCUUUCCGUCGAGCUCGAAAGAAAAAAAAAAAAAAAACGAUUUAAGUGCCGCCGACCUGUUGCCUCACGUUGGCCAGAGGCGGGGAAGCAGCAAGGAAAAAUUCUGCAGCAGGGACUUGACUGGCCUCAGUCUUCAAGGAGCCAGUGUUUGUAAGUGGUGACCCACCCCUUCUCUGGCCUUGUCAAGAGACUCCAAUCCCUGCCCAUGGGGUGCCCCUGGCCCCACAGCCGCCUGGGGAGCAGCUGGGCAAAAGGCCUGGGCCAGGAGGAGAGAAAGGACCUUUCAGGCAGAGGCACUGAGGGGUGGGGUACCCAGUGGUCCAGUUGUUGCAUGGGGAAGGACUCGACCCUGUCAUCUCAGCACUAGAUCUCCUAGCAACACUUUGAAGGAGUUCUGUUCUCCCCACCUGAUGAUUGGAAAGACUAGUUCUGGGACAGGGAGAGAUUGUCCUUGUCAUACAGAUAAGAAGUGGUGGGGCUGAAUCUGAUCUGCCCCCAGACUUUGGGAAAACCUGGCAUGGUAGAGGGUGGAUGUGGGAGGGAACUCAGGGCCCCUCUGAGGGACCUAAGGGGAAAGAGAGAGGUCCAGGGUAGGGAAUGUGGGGGAUUGGCUUUUCUUGGAGUGCUAUGGGAGGUCACAGGGGAGACAGCGAGAGCUGAGGUGGACUCAGGAGAGUCCUAGAACCCCUUGCGGAGCUGACGUCUACCCACACGGCCUGGCCUCCCCAGCACCCCACCCCAGGCUUGACCAAGGGCUCCUCAGCAGUUGAGUGGCAGGAGCCUCUUAGUUUGGGUGGCAGGGUGGGGGUGGGUGGUGGCAUGGCUCCUGGGGACAUGACGGAAUCAGGAGGGUGAAGGGAUAAACCUAAGAUGAGCCUGGGACCCGUGUGUGACUCCGUCUCUCUGUCCCCAGGCUCAGGGCCCCAAGCCCAGGAUCACUCAGAGAACCUUCUCUGGAUGGGCUUGGAUUGGUCCCGGAGGACCCAGGUGUACUGCUACCUGGUGCACCAGGAUGGCCAGGCAUGGCCCCAAGGGGAGCCAGGAAAGACCCCUGUCCCACAGCUGCUCUGCCACUGGUUGCUCUUGGUCCCCACGCUCUGAAUUCCUGGACCUGAAAACCAAAGCAAUCUGGUCAGCCCCAGGGACAGAGUGGCCCAGUGUCACACCUCCUGCUUUCCUCAGCUGCCAAGCUGGAAGCCUGAUCCUGAUUGAAGAGCUCUGCCUGCCUCACCCCGGGGACUGAGGCCAGACGAAGCCACCAUGUGUCCCCUGCAGCUCCCCACAGGGUGUGAUGGCUUCCUUCCUUGUGCCUAGUGCCCUGGGGUCCCUGAUCCGGGUGGAACCUCCCAUACCCCAACCCUUUCCACCGAGGUCCAGUUCGGGGAGCCUGCCAGCCUGCUGACUCCAUCUACAGAUGUCUGGGGACAGCCUUCAACAGCCACCUGAGGCUGUCUGAGAGGAGAGGACGAGGGGCCUCCUUAGGGCUGAUCCACUGAUGUGCCCCUUUCAAGACCCCCGUCUCACCCUCGAGCGACCGGCUCCCCAGCUGCAGCUUUGUGGCUCAGGUGGAGCUGCCUGGGGCCUGUGACAUCUCUUACCGGCUGGGAGAGGGGUGGGGAGAGCCUCAGGGCCCCUGGCCCGCGGCCCCUCCCCUGCAGAAAGCUCCAUCCUGUGCCACCCCCUCCCCCAGGGUACAGGGUGUCCCUGCGCAGCCCUCAAGGGUCAGGGGAGGGGCAGGGGAGGGGAUGCACGUCUUUCGCCCCGUGUUCCUGCCACUGCUUUCCUGACCGGUUUGGCCUUGAGUACUUAGCGCGCUUCUUCCCCACCCCUUCCCUCUCCCGCACUGGGCCCUGGCUGCCUGACAGGCUCUCCAUGCACUUUAUUUAUUUGCAGUCUGUGUUCCAGGCGGCAGAGCUUCUACAGCAUCAGAGCCACGGGCUGAAUAUGAUGACUGUCACUUUCCCGUGUGUGAUUAACUGCUGGUCAGCGCCCUCUGCUCAGAGGAAUGGGCUCGUUUCUGCUGUCAAAUCCUGUCACUCUAAGUUAAAAAGAAAACCUUCCCUAAGUUCAAUAAAAUGAAAUACAAGUGGAGGCCAUC